rnacentral:rRNA from 1 species
GGGAUGCCUUAGUACGGCGAGUGAGCGGCAAAAGCUCAAAUUUGAAAUCUGGUACCUUCGGUGCCCGAGUUGUAAUUUGGAGAGGGCAACUUUGGGGCCGUUCCUUGUCUAUGUUCCUUGGAACAGGACGUCAUAGAGGGUGAGAAUCCCGUGUGGCGAGGAGUGCGGUUCUUUGUAAAGUGCCUUCGAAGAGUCGAGUUGUUUGGGAAUGCAGCUCUAAGUGGGUGGUAAAUUCCAUCUAAAGCUAAAUAUUGGCGAGAGACCGAUAGCGAACAAGUACAGUGAUGGAAAGAUGAAAAGAACUUUGAAAAGAGAGUGAAAAAGUACGUGAAAUUGUUGAAAGGGAAGGGCAUUUGAUCAGACAUGGUGUUUUGUGCCCUCUGCUCCUUGUGGGUAGGGGAAUCUCGCAUUUCACUGGGCCAGCAUCAGUUUUGGUGGCAGGAUAAAUCCAUAGGAAUGUAGCUUGCCUCGGUAAGUAUUAUAGCCUGUGGGAAUACUGCCAGCUGGGACUGAGGACUGCGACGUAAGUCAAGGAUGCUGGCAUAAUGGUUAUAUGCCGCCCGUCUUGAACCCCGGGACCAAG